rnacentral:pre_miRNA from 1 species
UAUAAGUCCCGUCGUCGCCUUCAUGUGCGGUGGUCACAUGCCACACAUGAACGACGACGUGACGCCGC